GCAUAUAACAAAGUAAAUUCAGCGUAUGUUCUAUACAUCAGGUUUGAUAUUACUUUAUAAUUUCUGUGUAUUCGGAAGUUUUAUAUUUAUACAAACUGUCAAACACGUCACUAAUUCAGACCUCUCAACUCUCACGCAUUCGGCGUGAGUCUCACGCAAUUCGCUUCACUCUCACGCUCUCACGCCACGUUUAGUAAAUCUCACGCACAUGGCAGUUUCAUAGUAUUUUUUUCAAUAAUAUAAUAUUGUAUUCUUAAAUGCACAUUAAUCAUUUAAUAUACGGAUCGCAAAUCGAAUAUAUAAUCACGUGUUAUUGUUCCCUCGUGUUCCUGCAUAUUUGCCUACAAUUUGGAUACAAAAUAGUAUGCACAUGUAAAUACGGCGGACAAAAGGCAGAAUCAGUCGGAGCAGAAUUCUAUAUGCAGGGCCGUAGCAACCGGGGGGCUGGAAAUCAUUCUUUUUUCAAAAUCAUGCAGACCUUU